GGUAGGACCAAUGACGUGAAAGACCAGAUCCAUCAGAGUAUCAAUGUUCUUCCUCUCGCUCCACCCCUCUCACUGCAGACAUGAAACACUGGCUGACAAACAUCCUGAUUGUGACUCUGUGGCUAGAGUGUAAAGGAGAAGACAGAGUGAACCAGACAACAAGAGAUGUCAUCGCUACUGAAGGACACACACUCACACUGGACUGUACAUUUGAGGCAGCUAAAGCAAGUCCCACUUUGUUCUGGUACAAACAAGAAGUUCAUGAUUACCCAAAGUACAUGCUGAAAAGUUUCUCAAACAACGUAGAUAAAGCUCCAGAGUUCCAGAAAGACAGAUUUGAUGCUAGAAUCAACAAGAAAUCAGUUCCUCUGAGGAUCCAGAAGCUUCAGCUGUCAGACUCUGCUGUGUACUACUGUGCUCUGCAGCCCACAGUGACAGGAAACACCUAAACUCUGUACAAAAACCUUUGGA